AGAGUUUGAUUCUGGCUCAGAAUGAACGCUGGCGGCGUGGAUAAGACAUGCAAGUCGAACGAAAACACUGAAUAGCUUGCUAAUUAGUGUUUUAGUGGCGGACGGGUUAGUAACACGUGAGCAACCUGCCUCGAAGCGGGGGAUAGCCUUCCGAAAGGGAGAUUAAUACCGCAUGUGGUCUUCGGACCAAAGACGCCUUCGGGUGUCACUUCGAGAUGGGCUCGCGGCCUAUCAGCUUGUUGGUGAGGUAAUAGCUCACCAAGGCUACGACGGGUAGCUGUUCUGAGAGGAAGAUCAGCAACACUGGAACUGAGACACGGUCCAGACACCUACGGGUGGCAGCAGUCGAGAAUCAUUCACAAUGGGGGCAACCCUGAUGGUGCAACGCCGCGUGGAGGAUGAAGGCCCUAGGGUCGUAAACUCCUGUCAUGUGAGAGUAAGGCAUAGUCGGUUAAGAGCUAACUAUGUUUGAUAGUAUCACAAGAGGAAGGGACGGCUAACUUCGUGCCAGCAGCCGCGGUAAUACGAAGGUCCCGAGCGUUAUUCGGAAUCACUGGGCGUAAAGAGUACGUAGGCGGUUUGGUAAGUCAGGUGUGAAAUCCCGGAGCUCAACUCCGGAACUGCAUCCGAUACUGCUAGACUAGAGUAAUGGAGAGGCAGGUGGAAUUCUCGGUGUAGCAGUGAAAUGCGUGGAUAUCGAGAGGAAGACCAAUGGCGAAGGCAGCCUGCUGGACAUUUACUGACGCUGAGGUACGAAGGCCAGGGUAGCGAAAGGGAUUAGAUACCCCUGUAGUCCUGGCAGUAAACGGUGCGCGCUUGGUGUAGGAGGACUCGACCCCUUCUGUGCCGGAGCUAACGCGUUAAGCGCGCCGCCUGGGGAGUACGGUCGCAAGACUAAAACUCAAAGAAAUUGACGGGGACCCGCACAA
rnacentral:rRNA from 1 species